rnacentral:lncRNA from 1 species
AGAUAAGUGCAUAAGAAAAGGUUGAAAGAAAAAAGAGCUUUCUUAAGAUUAUGAGAAGAUAUUUAUAAACAAGGUUGAUUGCACUUAAACUUUGAUACUUGUCAUAAUCAACUCUUUAAGAAGGCGAUGAUGAACAUGAUGGAUUUAGCAAUCCAUAUGUGAUUGAACUGUGUCAACUUGAUGAAGUUCGAUAUGUUUUUUAUAUGAUGAUGAGGCUCAAUAUUUAUCUUUUACAAGGUGAAUU